AUUGAACGCUGGCGGCAUGCCUUACACAUGCAAGUCGAACGGCAGCACGGGAGCAAUCCUGGUGGCGAGUGGCGAACGGGUGAGUAAUACAUCGGAACGUGCCCAGUAGUGGGGGAUAGCCCGGCGAAAGCCGGAUUAAUACCGCAUACGACCUGAGGGUGAAAGCGGGGGAUCGCAAGACCUCGCGCUAUUGGAGCGGCCGAUGUCGGAUUAGCUAGUUGGUGGGGUAAAGGCUCACCAAGGCAGCGAUCCGUAGCUGGUCUGAGAGGACGACCAGACACACUGGGACUGAGACACGGCCCAGACUCCUACGGGAGGCAGCAGUGGGGAAUUUUGGACAAUGGGCGCAAGCCUGAUCCGGCCAUGCCGCGUGCGGGAAGAAGGCCUUCGGGUUGUAAACCGCUUUUGUCAGGGAAGAAACGCUCUGGGCUAAUACCCCGGGGUAAUGACGGUACCUGAAGAAUAAGCACCGGCUAACUACGUGCCAUCCGCCGCGGUAAGAC
rnacentral:rRNA from 1 species